GUGAGGAAUAUUGGUCAAUGGGCGAGAGCCUGAACCAGCCAAGUCGCGUGAAGGAAGAAGGAUCUAUGGAUCGUAAACUUCUUUUGCAGGGGAAUAAAGUGCGGGACGUGUCCUGUUUUGUAUGUACCCUGAGAAUAAGGAUCGGCUAACUCCGUGCCAGCAGCCGCGGUAAUACGGAGGAUCCGAGCGUUAUCCGGAUUUAUUGGGUUUAAAGGGUGCGUAGGUGGUUUGAUAAGUCAGCGGUGAAAGUUUGCAGCUUAACUGUAAAAAUGCCGUUGAAACUGUCGGACUUGAGUGUAAAUGAGGUAGGCGGAAUGCGUGGUGUAGCGGUGAAAUGCAUAGAUAUCACGCAGAACUCCGAUUGCGAAGGCAGCUUACUAAGCUACAACUGACACUGAAGCACGAAAGCGUGGGGAUCAAACAGGAUUAGAUACCCUUGUAGUCC
rnacentral:rRNA from 1 species